rnacentral:tRNA from 1 species
GGUGGCUCAGUGGAGAGCACUUGCCUUGCAUGCAUGAGGCCCUGGGUUCGAUUCCUCAGCACCA